GACGAACGCUGGCGGCGUGCUUAACACAUGCACGUCGAACGGAAAGGCCCUGCUUUUGUGGGGUGCUCGAGUGGCGAACGGGUGAGUAACACGUGAGUAACCUGCCCUUGACUUUGGGAUAACUUCAGGAAACUGGGGCUAAUACCGGAUAGGAGCUCCUGCUGCAUGGUGGGGGUUGGAAAGUUUCGGCGGUUGGGGAUGGACUCGCGGCUUAUCAGCUUGUUGGCGGGGUAGUGGCUUACCAAGGCGUUGACGGGCAGCCGGCCUGAGAGGGUGACCGGCCACAUUGGGACUGAGGUACGGCCACGACUCCUACGGGAGGCAGCAGUGGGGAAUAUUGCCCAAUGGGCGGAAGCCUGAUGCAGCAACGCCGCGUGCGGGAUGACGGCCUUCGGGUUGUAAACCGCUUUCGCCUGUGACGAAGCGUGAGUGACGGUAAUGGGUAAAGAAGCACCGGCUAAAUACGUG
rnacentral:rRNA from 1 species